UGCAAGUCGAGGGGUAACGGGGAAGCUUGCUUCCGCCGACGACCGGCGCACGGGUGCGUAACGCGUAUACAAUCUACCUUAUACUGGGGUAUAGCCUUUAGAAAUGAAGAUUAACCCCCCAUAGUCUCUUAGAGUGGCAUCACUUCUGGAGUAAAGGUUACGGUAUAAGAUGAGUAUGCGUUCUAUUAGUUUGUUGGUGUGGUAACGGCACACCAAGACUACGAUAGAUAGGGGCCCUGAGAGGGGGAUCCCCCACACUGGUACUGAGACACGGACCAGACUCCUACGGGAGGCAGCAGUGAGGAAUAUUGGACAAUGGAGGCAACUCUGAUCCAGCCAUGCCGCGUGCAGGAAGACUGCCCUAUGGGUUGUAAACUGCUUUUAUACAGGAAGAAACACCUCUACGUGUAGAGGCUUGACGGUACUGUAAGAAUAAGGAUCGGCUAACUCCGUGCCAGCAGCCGCGGUAAUACGGAGGAUCCAAGCGUUAUCCGGAAUCAUUGGGUUUAAAGGGUCCGUAGGUGGAUAAUUAAGUCAGAGGUGAAAUCUUGCAGCUCAACUGUAAAAUUGCCUUUGAAACUGGUUAUCUUGAGUUAUUAUGAAGUAGUUAGAAUAUGUAGUGUAGCGGUGAAAUGCAUAGAUAUUACAUAGAAUACCAAUUGCGAAGGCAGAUUACUAAUAAUCAACUGACACUGAUGGACGAAAGCGUGGGUAGCGAACAGGAUUAGAUACCCUGGUAGUCCACGCCGUAAACGAUGGUUACUAGCUGUUUGGACUUCGGUCUGAGUGGCUAAGCGAAAGUGAUAAGUAACCCACCUGGGGAGUACGUUCGCAAGAAUGAAACUCAAAGGAAUUGACGGGGGCCCGCACAAGCGGUGGAGCAUGUGGUUUAAUUCGAUGAUACGCGAGGAACCUUACCAGGGCUUAAAUGUAAGUUGCAUUAGUUAGAGAUAGCUAUUUCUUCGGACCACUUACAAGGUGCUGCAUGGUUGUCGUCAGCUCGUGCCGUGAGGUGUCAGGUUAAGUCCUAUAACGAGCGCAACCCCUGUUGUUAGUUGCCAGCGAGUCAUGUCGGGAACUCUAGCAAGACUGCCAGUGCAAACUGUGAGGAAGGUGGGGAUGACGUCAAAUCAUCACGGCCCUUACGUCCUGGGCUACACACGUGCUACAAUGGUAGGUACAGAGAGCAGCCACUGCGCGAGCAGGAGCGAAUCUAUAAAACCUAUCACAGUUCGGAUCGGAGUCUGCAACUCGACUCCGUGAAGCUGGAAUCGCUAGUAAUCGGAUAUCAGCCAUGAUCCGGUGAAUACGUUCCCGGGCCUUGUACACACCGCCCGUCAAGCCAUGGAAGUUGGAAGUGCCUGAAGUCCGUCACCGUAAGGA
rnacentral:rRNA from 1 species